CAGCCAGACUCCUACGGGAGGCAGCAGUGGGGAAUAUUGCACAAUGGGGGAAACCCUGAUGCAGCGACGCCGCGUGAGCGAUGAAGUAUUUCGGUAUGUAAAGCUCUAUCAGCAGGGAAGAAAAUGACGGUACCUGACUAAGAAGCCCCGGCUAACUACGUGUCAGCAGCCGCGGUAAUACGUAGGGGGCGAGCGUUAUCCGGAUUCACUGGGUGUAAAGGGAGCGUAGACGGCCAUGCAAGCCAGGGGUGAAAGCCCGGGGCCCAACCCCGGGACUGCCCUUGGAACUGCAUGGCUGGAGUGCGGGAGGGGCAGGCGGAAUUCCUGGUGUAGCGGUGAAAUGCGUAGAUAUUAGGAGGAACACCAGUGGCGAAGGCGGCCUGCUGGGCUUUUACUGACGCUGAGGCUCGAAAGUGUGGGGAGCAAACAGGAUUAGAUACCCCUGUA
rnacentral:rRNA from 1 species